rnacentral:rRNA from 1 species
UACAGAGGGGGCUAGCGUUGUUCGGAAUUACUGGGCGUAAAGGGCGCGUAGGCGGUCCCGUCAGUCCCUUGUGAAAUCCCCCGGCUCAACUGGGGAACUGCAAGGGAUACAGCGGGGCUUGAGUUCGGGAGAGGGAAGCGGAAUUCCGGGUGUAGCGGUGAAAUGCGUAGAUAUCUGGAGGAACACCGGUGGCGAAGGCGACAUCCUGGACCGGUAUUGACGCUGAGGCGCGAAAGCCAGGGGAGCAAACGGG